CUUGUUUUUAAAAGACCUAGCAAUAGGUAUGCUUAGGGAGGAGCUUGCGUCACAUUAGUUAGUUGGUGGGGUAAAGGCCUACCAAGACUAUGAUGUGUAGCUGGGCUGAGAGGUUGAACGGCCACAUUGGGACUGAGACAUGGCCCAAACUCCUACGGGAGGCAGCAGUAGGGAAUUUUCGGCAAUGGAGGAAACUCUGACCGAGCAACGCCGCGUGAACGAUGAAGUAUUUCGGUACGUAAAGUUCUUUUAUUAGGGAAGAAUAAAUGAUGGAAAAAUCAUUCUGACAGUACCUAAUGAAUAAGCCCCGGCUAACUAUGUGCCAGCAGCCGCGGUAAUACAUAGGGGGCAAGCGUUAUCCGGAAUUAUUGGGCGUAAAGGGUGCGUAGGCGGUUAAAUAAGUUUAUGGUCUAAGUGCAAUGCUCAACAUUGUGAUGCUAUAAAAACUGUUUAGCUAGAGUAAGAUAGAGGCAAGUGGAAUUCCAUGUGUAGUGGUAAAAUGCGUAAAUAUAUGGAGGAACACCAGUAGCGAAGGCGGCUUGCUGGGUCUUUACUGACGCUGAGGCACGAAAGCGUGGGGAGCAAACAGGAUUAGAUACCCUGGUAGUCCACGCCGUAAACG
rnacentral:rRNA from 1 species